rnacentral:rRNA from 1 species
UCUCUUUGAGCGGGCUGGUUCCCUUAGGACAUAGCCGUUUUUGAGACCAGAAACUUUGAACCUUUGACCUCAGAUCAGGUAGGGACACCGCCUGAACUUAAGCAUAUCAAUAAGGCGAGGAAUAGAAACCAACAGGGAUUCCCCCAGUAGUGGCGAAUGAAGCGGGAAAAGCUCAAGUUUGAAAUCUGGUAGGUAAAACUGUCCAGAGUUGUAAGCUGGAGAGGCGAUGUCCGACGCGGUCCAGGCUCAAUUUCCUUGGAACAGGAGGUCAUGGAGGGUGAGAACCCCGUACAUGGCUUGGGUACCGCCGUCCUUGUGACGCGUCCUCUAAGAGUCGGGUUGCUUGGGAAUGCAGCUCAAAAUGGGUGGUAAAUUUCAUCUAAAGCUAAAUAUUGGCGAGAGACCGAUAGCAAACAAGUAGAGUGAUCGAAAGAUGAAAAGUACUUUGAAAAGAGAGUGAAACAGUACGUGAAAUUGUUGAAAGGGAAGCGUUUGGCAUCAGCCCAUGGCGGUGGUCGAACAUCUGGGCUUCUGCCUAGUGCACUCGGCCGCCGUUGGGCCAGCGUCGGCUCUGCCUGCCAGAGAAAGGCCUUGGGGAAGUGGCUCUCUUCGGGGAGCGUUAUAACCCUUGGUGUCAUGCGGCUGGGCGGGGCCGAGG